AUGAUAAAAAGAUAUUUCUCCACAGCGCUACGGAUGCAGACGCAUUCAAAGGCUUCUUCUCUCGCCAGCUCCUCUACAGAAUCACUCUUAAUGAAAGCUUCAGCUCCAGCUCUCCAAGCCCAGAUUCAGUCGCAGCCGUCUAACCCUCGGCCUGCAAACCAAGCGGUGGCCAUCGCUUUCGAAAAAUCAGAAGAAAUUAAUUUCCUCUCUGGAGGAGACGACAUUCCAGUCGUAAGGCCUUCCUGUCAUCUGCGGGCCAUGAGCGUCUCACAGCAACUAAAUGCCAGAAGAAACAAAGAAGAGAAAGAAGAGAAUGAGAGUUUACACACACAGGGAACGUCAGGUUUCUCUCACCUGCAGCAGGACCAGAUGCUUUCAGGAUAAACCCCUUUAAACCCGCUUUCAUCAUCCCUUCAGUCACAGAUGGCUGUUUACACCUGUAUUACCUGCUUUGUGCAUGACUGGGUGGAUGUAAAGGAGAAUAUCUGUGGCUGCAAACAUCAGUGUGUCAAUGCAAUGUGUGUAAAAUAAAAGUUGCUUAAAUAUCA
ensembl:lncRNA